rnacentral:rRNA from 1 species
UACGAAGGGGGCUAGCGUUGCUCGGAAUCACUGGGCGUAAAGCGCACGUAGGCGGAUUGUUAAGUCAGGGGUGAAAUCCUGGAGCUCAACUCCAGAACUGCCUUUGAUACUGGCGAUCUCGGUCCGGGAGAGGUGAGUGGAACUGCGAGUGUAGAGGUGAAAUUCGUAGAUAUUCGCAAGAACACCAGUGGCGAAGGCGGACUCACUGGCCCGGUACUGACGCUGAGGUG